rnacentral:rRNA from 1 species
CAGCCGCCGCGGUAAUACCGGCGGCCCGAGUGGCGGCCACUAUUAUUGGGCUUAAAGCGUCCGUAGCCGGGUUGGUUAGUCUCCCGGGAAAUCCGGCCGCUUAACGGUCAGAAUUCCGGGAGAUACUGCCAGCCUAGGGACCGGGAGAGGCCGAGGGUAUUCCCGGAGUAGGGGUGAAAUCCUAUAAUCCCGGGAGGACCACCUGUGGCGAAGGCGCUCGGCUGGAACGCGUCCGACGGUGAGGGACGAAGGCCAGGGGAGCAAACCGGAUUAGAUACCCGGGUAGUCCUGGCUGUAAACGAUGCGGACUUUGUGUCGGACAAGCUAUGAGCUUGUCCGGUGCCGGAGGGAAACCGUUAAGUCCGCCGCCUGGGGAGUACGGCCGCAAGGCUGAAACUUAAAGGAAUUGGCGGG